rnacentral:rRNA from 1 species
UACGUAGGGUGCAAGCGUUAAUCGGAAUUACUGGGCGUAAAGCGUGCGCAGGCGGCUUUGCAAGACAGAUGUGAAAUCCCCGGGCUUAACCUGGGAACUGCAUUUGUGACUGCAUGGCUGGAGUGCGGCAGAGGGGGAUGGAAUUCCGCGUGUAGCAGUGAAAUGCGUAGAUAUGCGGAGGAACACCGAUGGCGAAGGCAAUCCCCUGGACCUGUACUGACGCUCAUGAC